GACGAACGCUGGCGGCGUGCCUAAUACAUGCAAGUAGAACGCACAGUUUAUACCGUAGCUUGCUACACCAUAGACUGUGAGUUGCGAACGGGUGAGUAACGCGUAGGUAACCUGCCUGGUAGCGGGGGAUAACUAUUGGAAACGAUAGCUAAUACCGCAUAAUAUUAAUUAUUGCAUGAUAAUUAAUUGAAAGGUGCAAUUGCACCACUACCAGAUGGACCUGCGUUGUAUUAGCUAGUAGGGGAGGUAACGGCUCACCUAGGCGACGAUACAUAGCCGACCUGAGAGGGUGCUCGGCCACACUGGGACUGAGCCCCGGCCCAGACUCCUACGGGAGGCAGCAGUAGGGAAUCUUCGGCCAUGGACGAAAGUCUGACCGAGCAACGCCGCGUGAGUGCAGAAGGUUUUCGGAUCGUAAAGCUCUGUUGUAAGAGAAGAACGGGUGUGAGAGUGGAAAGUUCACACUGUGACGGUAUCUUACCAGAAAGGGACGGCUAACUACGUG
rnacentral:rRNA from 1 species